rfam:Acidobacteria bacterium 13_1_20CM_3_53_8 13_1_20cm_3_scaffold_12, whole genome shotgun sequence.
GGGCGGUUAGCUUAAUGGAAUCAGAGCGGGUCACUUCGAAUGACUCCAGAUGCGGGUUCAACUCCCGCACCGCCCU